UACGUAAGGGGCUAGCGUUGCUCGGAAUUACUGGGCGUAAAGGGCGUGUAGGCGGUUUCACAAGUCGAAUGUAAAAGACCGCAGCUUAACUGCGGGAAUGCGUUCGAAACUGUGAAGCUUGAGUCUGGUGGAGGGUGAUGGAAUUCCCGGUGUAGCGGUGAAAUGCGUAGAUAUCGGGAAGAACACCGAAGGCUAAAGCAGUCAUCUAUGCCAAGACUGACGCUGAGGCGCGAAAGCAUGGGGAUCAAACAGG
rnacentral:rRNA from 1 species